CGAACAGUAAAGUAAUGUCUAGCUCAACACAAUUUUCUCCAGUUAUUCAACAGUUAUUCGCAAGAAAAUCGAACCCAUCGUCCAUUUCAGCUUUUAAAGCUUCAAAAUUGGUACUUUUAGUACCAAUUUCCCUAAAUUGUUCAAGAAUUCACUUGGAUUUUAAGGUGAGAGUUCAGGUUUUGGAAAAUCAUGAUGGAGAAAGUUCUGUACAAGAUCUUGAUGAUUCACCUGCUUCGAUUGAGCUACAACACAUUUCUGAUGAACCCCAAUUUGAUCGAGUUAUAGCUGAAGCACAACAGCUUGAUGAAUCUAUUGUGAUUCUAUGGUGCGUUUUUGUGUUUUUCUUGUUGGAAUGUGUUGAAUAAUCAAAAGGGUCAUCUUUAAAUUGGAUAUAGAGAAAAGGGGUGUAUAAAGUUGUGUUUUUUUUUAGCUGGUUUAUGAUUUUUCACUCUAUUAGUAGUAGUUGUAGUAUUGCUCUGUUAAUUUCUUGGUACUACUGUUCAGAAUGAUUGUUCAUGCUUUCUAUAUGAUUUGAACUGUUUUUUCUCGAGCCGAGUGUAUUGGGAACAGUCUCUUUACCUUUUCUAGAUAGCGGUAAGGUUUGCAUAUAUAUACUUCUCCAAGCCCCACUUUGUGGUUGUUGGUUUAUGAUUUGUCAGUUGUCUUCUGUACCAAAGAAUGGGAAAUGGUAUGUUUAUUUUGUUGUUAUUUGGUUUUAUGCCAUCUUAUAUUGAUAAAACAGUGAGUACAGCUGAAUGGCUCGAGCAUAAGAGUGAUUCGAUGAGAUCUCUAUAAAUGGGUCCCUCUAUUAUGAGAUGUCUACUUCCUCUAGGUUGAUAUGAAUUGUGUAACUAGCUUAGUGGAUCAGUUCCUAGUGUAACGAGCUUAAUGGACCAGUUCUUAGUGUAACGAACUUAUCCGAUCAGUUCCUAGUUCCUAAUUUAAUGAGCUUAACGGACCAGUUCCUAGUGUAACGAGGUUCACGGAUCAGUUCCUAGUUUAACGAGCUUAAUGGAUAAGUUCCUAGUCUGAUGAGCUUAACAUAUAGUUGCGAGUGUAACGAGCUUAACAAAUCAGUUCCUAGUGUAACUAACUUAACAAAUCAGUUCCAAGUGUAACGAGCCUAACAGAUCAGUUCCUAGUGUAACAAGUGAUCAUGUCUAAUAUAUUUAGUAAGAUGAGGUAAUCCAGAGUGUUAACAAUCAUUUCCUAGUGUAAUGAGCUUAAUGAAUCAGUUCCUAGUAUAACGAGCUUAACGGACCAGUUACUAGUGUAUCGAGAUUAACAGAUCAAUUCCUAAUUAACGAAGCAGUUCCUAGUGUAACAAGCUUAUUGAUAAUGUCUAUAUAUUAUAGUAAGUAAGAUGAGGUAAUCCAUAGUGUUAGCAAUAAGUUUACAUGUAUGCCUUGUUUGGCUCAUUUACAGUGAUUGCAGUGUGUAGUCACUAGGCCCACUAGAAAAAGAUAAACUCAUUAGGAAGUGCUGACAUCUAGAAAGCAUAUAGGAAAAUACCAAUUAUUGGUAGCGACUUAGUUCUGAUUAUGUUUUAUAUGCAGAUGCAAGAGUUUCUUGUAAGGUUACUUGUUUGAAAUUUAGUGCCAAUGUUCUUUCCUAGGAAGUCAUUUGAUUUGCCAUCUCCAUGUGUCUCUUGAUUUUAAUUUAAUUGUCCUCUAAUUGUUCAUAUGGUUAUCAUUUAAUCUGAUUAGAUGACGGCUCUUGUUUCCUAGUGGAUCAUUUUACCAUGACCUAAAAGAUAGAAGCUGAAGUUCUUUAGGUUAUCUCGUGGAUGAGCUUAUGGGAUGACACUGGGUUGCUGUUGUUGUAAUAUGGUGUUUAGUUGAUGUAUAUAGCUCUUUGAAUCUGCAGGAUGGCAAACUGGUGCCGCAAAUGCAUAUACUUGAAACCAAAAUUGGAAAAACUGGCUGCUGACUACUUCCCAAGGUUGUGCUCUCAUGCAUUUCCCUUCAGAUAUAGCACAUUGCAAUAAAAAGCUUUACACCUUAAGUGUCUACUUUUGUUGCACUUACUAUUGAUUCAUUUAGGAUUUGCAAGCAGCAUUUGUGAUACUCUCUGAUCAACUUCCGCACUACUCUUCAAACUUUUCUAUAUCUGUCAGAGAUAUUUCAAAACUUUAGAUUCUUGUGAAAUUUCUUUGUUUAGAGACGACUCGUAUCUCAUAAGCAUUUUGAGAAGGGUUAGGUACUCUGAAUUUUGUAGUUCUUUAUUUACCUCCUGAAAGACCCAAUAAUAGAUUGGUGAACAGUUCUUAUGUAUGGGGAAGACAGUCCAGGAGCUCUCUGAUUAACAGACGAGACCUUUUGGCAUAAUAUUAGAAUUAGUCCCCGUGAUUUAGAUAGCAGGGAAGGUUUGAGUACACUAAAAUUGCUUGAGUUCAUAAACUGGAUUAGAUGGUUGCUGUUACUCCUGAAAGUAGAUUACAAAAAUCAAUUUAUAACUAUAGAUUGCAGCAGGAAGUUGCUUGAGUACUUAGGAAUGCAUUGUUACAUCAAUUGCUUGAGCACGAAGAGUUUUAGUUGAAUUUGGGUACUGAUCCAAAUCUUUUACCAUCUUAAUGUCCCAGAACACGCUUUUACUCUGUUGAUGUCAAUAAUGUUCCACACAAGCUUGUGGUUCGCGCUGGAGUAACUGUAAGGGUUUCUUUCUCCCAACACCUUCCAUAUGUUUAAUGUCUUUUUGCUAUAUGAUUGUUAACUGCUAAACAUGUAAAACUUAUAAAAUUAUCUCAAGCACGUGAGACUAUUGUAACACCAUCUUUGCAACAUCCUCUGAUGAAAACAUAAAAAUUCGUAUUCCUUUCCAGACUUGUCAAUGAUAGGUAAACCAAUCCUAUAAUAAUUUUUCUUUAAGUAACAGUAGGGUCAAGCCAACUUGCAUGCACUUCAAUUAAUCCAACGACUGGUGCAUUGUAUCCGAUCAGUACAUGCUAUCUGUCAGGUCGGAUACCUAACCUGAUAUUCUUUUCUGUAAGUAGAUAAAAUUGCAGUAUAAUUGCAUAGGAGGUAGAUAGGUUACCCGCACAAUAGAUGCGGUACUUUUGUUUUUGUAAAUAGGUAGUAUGAAUUGAUGCAGACAAUGGCUAGAGAAUUAUAAUUAGGAUGAUGCGGCAUGGGUGCCUCUGAAAGUUUAAGAAGUGUGUUUAGAAAAUAUCAGGCGUGCUGCACUAAGGCUGUGCCUAGUGAACAAUGAAGUGUAUUAAGAAUCACGAGUUCUCAGGUUCAAAUACGCCAGCAGAGACCAAAACUCUGUAGGUGAUUCUUCCCAUUUGUCUUAGCCUUGUCUAGAUGGACAGAGUUAUCUGGACACCACGGUCAUUAAAAAAAUGUUGGACAUGCACAUGAUUUCCGAAGUAUAGCUUUAUCCCUUGGUCGUUUAAGUAGGCCUUUCAUUUUCGGGCCAUCCGGCAGAGCAUGAAAGAUGAUUUCACCCCAUAAUAAACAUUAACUUCAUAUGUACAGCUAGCAUGCAACAGUCAUACAAUGCACAAGUCCUUUACUUGCUAAAAGACGUGUUGCUACUUGAAACACUCUUUUUCUUUCAUAAAGUGCUGCUGUUCUUUCAUUCGUAGAGAGUAAUAUUGUUCUUAUUUGAUUAGUUAAAGGAAAUUUUGUCGUUUGAAUUAUUGAUAAUACAUUUAAUGAUGAUAAAUUCUACUUUUCAUGUGUCCAAAUACGUGUGGUGACGAAACCUAAACAGAAAAUGCCGACCAUACAGUUAUGGAGGGAUGGGAAGAAACAAGCGGAAGUAAUUGGCGGCCACAAAGCAUAUGUAGUCGUUAGUGAGGUACGCGAUAUGAUUGAAAAUGAAGAUAAUUUGUGACUUGAAGACAUAUCCUAUACUUCCAUUAGAAUCCAUUUUCCCAGUUUUGUUCUGGUUCAUAUCCUAUAUACAUUUACUUCAGAUGUACUUUUGAAAAGGUAAAAUAUACACACAGAUUGAUUUUGUUUUAUUUUUUUGAAACACUCAAAGAGGAAAAUGUUUAUUUCUUUUUCUGUAUCCUGUACAUUUAUCGAAAACAGCAGGUCCUCAAAUGUCCAUUUAUGAUAUGUACUAAUUAUUGUUUCUUUUCUCCAUUGUUUUCGGCAUGACUUAUUCAGUACUGUAUUUCCUUGUCGUACUUUUUCUUAUUACUUGGACCGAGGAUCCGUUGAAAAACAAACUUUCAACCUUCAUAAAGUAGGAGUAAGGCUGGAUGAACUUUUUAUUAUAUGUACUAAUUAUAGUUCUUUUCGGCAUGACUUAUUCAGUACUGUAUUUCCUUGUGGUACUUUUUUUUAUUACUUGGACCGAUGGUCCGUUGAAAACAACCUAUCAACCUUCAUAAAGUAGGAGUAAGAGUGGAUGAACUUCGUGGAUAACAAACGAGUGAGGUUGAGACUGACAGUGACAAUUAGGGUUUGUAGAUACACAAAUAUAUGUAAUAUGUGUAUAUCGCGAAAUUACGUAAUUUUUCCAUGUUCUGUAAUUAUUUAAAAGUAUCAGUAUAAAAAGUAACAAGGGAGUAAAAUUAGCUAUUAAAAGUAAUUUCCCAUAAAAAGAUGGAAAUUUUGUAUAGUGUUAUUUGUACUUAGAUUUACAAAACAUAGUGAAUUUUGCUUAAUUACAAAAUUUAUCAGAUUACAUUGUAUCUACACAUAUAAUAAUGGUAAAAUGUACAUAAUAAGUGUAUUCAUAUGUAUACGAUAUUUUUAUAGCAAAAUAC
rnacentral:lncRNA from 1 species